GAACGCGAAUAUAUUUUGGAACAAUAUGGACUCUCAGAAAACACGCAAGGAUACUAAAACUGCCUUAAGUUCCAAAUAAUAGGAAUUUCUGCCUGAGAACGGUGCCAGAGGCCACAUUCCAGAGAUCAGACAGUCUACUGCUUCAUCCCUAUCAGAUGUGGUACACCAAAUAUCACAGCAACGCUUUUUCUCUCCAGCGCUGGAUAUUCCCACUUGAGUGUGUAGUGAGGCAACCACAAAAUGUUAGCUAAUGAAACACAGACUUAGGGGGGUGGAGGGUGGAGCUGGGACAACGCUGGAAAGGGAGAACGUGUAUCCUGACUGAUGUUUCUCAAAUGGGAUGACAAGGGCUUCCCGCAGUCCCUGGAGCUCUUUUGUGUAUUUCUUGCGCUGGACUGCCAUUGGGAAUGCGAAAGCGCUGGGAAUUCUUCUGCCCCCACAGACUCUGGUAGCCUUGCAGUGGCACACAAACAGAUGACGGAAGGGCUGGCCUUUUCAUCUCAAAGAUCAAGAAAGAACAUGAAGCUCUGAAGGCACAAUGUGAGCCAUAAACAUCCUUCGUUACGUCCUCCGAAGCUGAAUUGAAAAGUAGAACCGACACCUUUCUUGUGUGGCCCUUUUCUUGUAUUUCAGAGCAUGGAAAAUAAACAGGUGCAGCUUUUACAACCA